rnacentral:rRNA from 1 species
AGUGAACGUUGGCGGCGUGGAUUAGGCAUGCAAGUCGAGCGAGAACCGUAGCAAUACGGGGACAGCGGCGAAAGGGACAGUAAUGUGUAGGUACCUACCCCGAGGUCUGGGAUAGCUGCGGGAAACUGCAGGUAAUAUCGGAUAAUGUCUUCGGACCAAAGGUGUGAUUCCACCUUGGGAGGGGCCUGCAUCCUAUUAGAUAGUUGGCGGGGUAAUGGCCCACCAAGGCGACGAUGGGUAGCGGGUGUGAGAGCACGACCCGCGUCAUUGGGACUGAGACACUGCCCAGACACCUACGGGUGGCUGCAGUCGAGGAUCUUCGGCAAUGGGCGAAAGCCUGACCGAGCGACGCCGCGUGCGGGAUGAAGGCCUUCGGGUUGUAAACCGCUGUCGUAGAGGAGGAAAUGCAGGUGGGUUCUCCCAUCUGUUUGACCUAUUCUAGGAGGAAGUACGGGCUAAGUUCGUGCCAGCCGCCGCCGUAA